rnacentral:misc_RNA from 1 species
AAGUCGUAACAAGGUUUCCGUAGGUGAACCUGCGGAAGGAUCAUUAUCGUAUCUGCGGCGGUCCCCCGUCCCGCCCCGCUCCGGCUCCAAAGGCCGUGCAGCGGGCGGAACGGUCCCGUCCAACCUUCACAAACCCACCGUGAACCUUUGCGGCGGAGGGCCCAGGGGCGAGAGCCCCGACGGUCCGAUGCCGCCCCAAAACAACAAACACCAGUUUGAAACGAAUGAACGCGGCCUCCGAGUCGCCUAACAAACGAAACAACUUUCAACAACGGAUCUCUUGGCUCUC